UCUGUGUCUCUCUUACUCACUUCCGUGCUCUUCCGGAUCCGAACCGAUGAUGAUGGCCAUCGUCAGCUGCGACUAUUUUUAAUGCAACUGGGUCACAGGACUCCGACAUUAACAUGCGGAUUGUUUCCGUUCGAUUGGACCCUAGUUUAUUCGAUAUUGGCCACGUCCACCACGUACUUGAUCAUACUGAUUCAAUUUGAAAAUUCCCGAUCCGAUUGAAGAUUCCAUUUCCAGGGAAUCUUGUUAAUAAAUCAUUACACAGUAAUUUACCUAAUUCUACGUGCUUAAGUGCACUGCACCGCAAGACCAGAUAGGAACCAAUAUGCGGACGUCCAGGCUGGAUUGUAAAAGGCAACACGUAGUGUCCCACAUCUCCUCAUCUCUAUCCAUCGCACAAGUUUAAUCAGGUGGCCCCACAGAAACGUUCCAACCCACGGGUGAAUGGUACUGCAGCACAGAUCGUUGAUGCAAGUUGAACUCUGUUUCAACUGGGUGCACUUUUCAAUUAGCAUAAAUAAUAAACACCGCACCAACCAACAGCCAGCGACCUUAUAAGCUUGUCUCCCUAAGGCUCCUGGAGCAGCUCGGUGGAUGGGUGGUACCUUGGUAUGGAACCCUAACGUGAUAGCGUCGAACUACUUUGCAUAAUCCGCGAGUGGGCCACCGGCACCACUGGGAACCGAGAACCAGGAUAAGCUUCCGGCACACUAGAGAUCCAGACUGUAGUGGAACGAACCCACGGAGAAUUUCCAACGCACAACACAGGUAGAGUGGAUAUUUUGGCAGUACGCAUAAACAAAAUAGGGUGAUUUGCAUUUAGAGUGGGUCCGGUAGAAUAGUUUAGAUGAGUUAAUUGUUCGAGAAAAAUAUAAAGCUCUAGCUAACACUUCUUUCUUUGACUGGAUGGAAUCAACGA